rnacentral:lncRNA from 1 species
GAUGGCUCUAUUUUGUUGUACUGCGACAGCACUGACGUCAUUGCUCAAGCAAAGAAAUCAAAGUCACAUCAGUACACCAAAUAUAUUCUACGUCGCUACUACCUAGUCCGAGAGAUCGAGGUGAUCUCGAGCUUCAGAAGAUCGAUGGAAAGGAGUAUCUGGCCGAUCUAUUUACUAAAGCCCUCAAUAUCAAGGAGUUUGAAGAUCAUAAACG